rnacentral:tRNA from 1 species
GUCCAGGGAUGGGAAUAGAACCCACAGUGUUCCGCUUACUGGGCAGAUGUCAUGUCCACUAGGCUACCCUGGA